UAAUUUAAUUCCAAAGGUCCCUGCUGACACUGUUUAAAAGACAAAGUCCUUCAUUGACCAAAAUACAUUAUUUUUGACCUUUUACCUGAGCACUUUGAAGUCUGACAAGUCUGACUGCAACCAUGGUAAGUUUUAUUACUGUUGAUUUAAGAAAUUCUGGUUACAGUUGUUUGUUGGUUCUUUUUUUGACAGGAUAAACUUUAUAAAUUAUGAUGGUGAAGAGUAAAUAAAUUUAAAAAAUAGAUCAUAAUUGCAUAAUCAUACAGUUUUAUUUGUAAUUACAGAAUGACUCAUCUGUGUUUCAGAAAUAUAAUACACUGUUUAAAGAGGGCGUUUCCCUGCUGAAGAAAAUGUAAAACUAUGUUUCUUUCCAUUUCUCUAUGAAGAAAUAUUUGGCUCUGGCUUUGCUGCUCUGUGCUCUGCCGUCACUGUCAACUGCUGCCUGCAUCAGAAUGCUCUUGGAGGCAGGCCAGACCCAUUGUCAGGACCACAUUGAUAAAACAUGGCAUGCUGUAGGAUCUUCAUGGAGAAACAGUAAAUGUCAGAACUGUGAUUGCGAGGAAUGUUGUGAUGCAUUUAUGACCCCCGCACAGUUCCCUGAUUACUGUGUGUCAGUGUUUGACCCAGUAGCAUGUAAAUACACAGUGCACAUGAAGGAUGACCCCUCUGUACCGUGUCCAAGUUAUGCUUCAGUAGGGAAAUGAUGGAGUCUGAAUGUAGAGUAUGAAUGAGAAGCAGAGUACGCUCUAGACCUGCUCUAUGUGAAAAGUGCCCUCAGAUAACUUUUGUUAGGAUUUGGCGCUAAAUAAAUAAAACUGAACUGAGUUGAAUGUGCUCCUUCACUGGUUUCUCACAACAAUGAAGUGUUUGUUUGAAUGCAUGACCAAGAGCUGCUGGAAUUUACUGAAAAUAAAGUACUAAACAAAUCAUACAUUUCUUAACUGCUUACUCUUUUUUGCAUUACUUUGUAUGGACGUGAAAGAAGAGAAUUUCUCUGAAAUUGAAAAACUCAGAUUACUUGUCUGGAGAAGUAGGACUCAGACUGUGAAAACAGUUGUGUGAUGUCUGUGGCUUUAGAGGAAGCUUUUCAAAGUUUGGUUUGGUAAAACAACGCUGAUGAUGUACUCUGACUCUGAUGAAGACACAGUAGUGUGGACACAUUGGUCUGUUUGUACAGUUAAAGGCUGCAAAUUAAUCAGUGUGCUCCAGUCCCCUCUUGUUUCUGAACCCUGAUGAUGUAAUCAGCGUUAUCUCGGUUUGGGCACAUUGAGAGAUGCACAUUUUUUAACAGAAAUUCAUGAUUUAUAAACUUGAGGUGUUUGAAAGGUUUGGGCAUUUAGGAGGCAGGUUCUAGUGUUUUUUGGAGCUUGACCCAAAUAAUCUCAUCCUCUGCUGCUUCAGUUUUGACCGUUCAUUAUAAAUCUGUUAUAGUGAAAUACUGAAUGACUGGAGUACACCUUUAACUCAGCUUGUAUUUGUGUUUGCACACUAAUAAUGGUACUGACAGAUAAUACAGAGAACUUACUGUUAUACAACUCAGUGGUCAUGUUGUUGUUGACAAAGACACAAACAGUUCACUGAUGUUGUGGGGCAACAGUAAAAAAUCAGUGUAACGUGGCUCAAACAGACAAAAUGCAUUAACAAAGAGGAACAGACACAUGAUAGAUAUGAUACACAUGACUAACAAGAACAAAACUACAGCAUCAGAUACCACAUGGAAACACCUCUGACAGGUUCAACAAAAACAAAACACUUACUGCAGGUGAUUCUGUUAUUUUGUCCACAUCCUGUAUGGGUCAUCUGUGAGAACAGUGACUGUGUAGUUAAAGAUCAGGCAUGGCAGGCUGUGAUCAAUGACGUUUAU